rnacentral:misc_RNA from 1 species
GUUUUUAGUGUUAUAAAAUGUUCCCAAUCAGCACUAUAUACUUAUCAAUUUAGAUUUUCAAUUAUCUAAUAAAUUAUGAUAUGUGUUCUGAAGUACCUAAUAAAAUCUCAGUAUACACUCAGUUCAAAAAAAUAAAUACCAUGGACAUUAGUGUAACUUGAACUUAGAAUGUGAAAAGUGUGCUUGCUAAUUAACAUUGUACCUCUAAACUCUCCAAAAUGGUCGUAAUCAAACAUUCCCUGUGUUGCAAAUUGAGAAAUAUGAAAAUGUACCUUGGAAUCUAUGCUAUAAUGCAAGUAGUACUACUUCCCUGGGUUUCUUGAGCCUUUAAGCUAUAAUGCAAGUAGUACUACUUCCCUGGGUUUCUUGAGCCUUUAAUUUUCCUUUUUUUUUUAAAAAAAAAAAGGUUAGACUUUUCAUAACCUACAUUGGAGGCAAUAAAUAGCUUUGCUGUUAGUUACACCCAACCGGUAAUAAAUGAGAUGCAAAGCCAACCCAGAGGCGAAAGGUGACCACAACCCAUUUCUAGCCAAUAACAGGGGUCUAAUUACAGCCACACGUGCGUGAAUGACAACAACAUACAACACUUCCCUCCAGUAAUGAAGGCUUCUUUAUUAAUAACUGAUCAACAUCCAAAAGUCCAACUGCCACUGUGCACAGUUUCUACAAUUUUCAUGAUUACAAAAGCUCUCCACACCAGUGAAUCUCCCUGUUUCUAUACUCCAAGCAAACUAACUCUCAUGAGUACCAGAUGUACAAGCCGGUCUUCUGGGAGGGAGUUGCUGGUGAGGUGUUCUCUGAAAGUCCUCAAAUAAUGUCAGUUGAAUCUUGUAACCCAAAAUCUGAAUACCUCUAUUAUAUAUUUGAUGUGUUAUUACCUGCAAUUUUGGUCGCAAUGUUUCUAUGGCCACAGUAGGUUUCUGAUUCACUCCUGCUCCUUGCUGUUCCAUAAUUCAAUACAAAACAGGAGAACUUUUAGUCUAAGACUCUAUAUUUGCGGCUUUCUUGCCAUAAAACAGGACAAGAAGUUAGCAUCAAUUGAGUAUUGAUUGUCAAAUUUUGUUGGCUUAGAAACAUCUCAAGUGGGCAUUGAUGGGCAUUGCCUAAUUGCAAGUUGCAGAGCCAGGUUAUUUUACGCUGAUACAUGGGACCAUUGAUUAUUAAAUUAAAGCAACUGACCAAAAUAGUUAAUAUGGUUUUUAUUAUGAUAAUUACCUUCCAUAAUGCCCAGUCUGCUGAAUCAAAGAAGGCACGUUCAUGGUCCUACACCAGUUAUAAAGACAUCCUUCAGCAUAUUUAUGGAAAAAAAAAAUUAAUGCAAAUAAUGAGAUUUGUCUCUAAAAUUAUAAAAUUUUAAAGUUAAAUACGAAGAAAGAUUAAAUAAAUAUUUCUUAUUGGAAUUGUUAAGCUUACCUUGGAAAUCAAGGGCUUCUUCUUGGGCACAAGACCUCCAUAUUUGUUGGCCAUUGAUGCUCCCUGUUAUUGACAUUCAAAUCAUCUUUCAUUUUCAGAAUUGCUUUUCCUUGCCCUUGACAAGGCUACAAGUACUUGGGUGGGGUCCUAACAUGUCGUGAUACGGUAUGGUAUGGCAUACAGAAUUGUACGCUGCCGACAUCUUCAUCUAAGCUCUCUCCGCAGAUCUCACCAUUUAAUACCAAAAGUUUGUGACGCAAAACAAAAGCUAUUUCCUUAGUUAUUAGCCGUUAGAUGUAGGGACCCCACUCAAAACAAUUGAUCUGAUCAUCACACUGUGAUCACCCAUAGUUUUAAGAUUUCCUUUAUCUUCAUGAAUAAUUAUAUAAAAUUUCCUCUCUUUAUUUUUUUCAAAUGAUAAGGUACCGUUACCAUGGGGCCCAUUAUUCAUCUAAUUAAUAUCAGAUGUCAUCCCCCAUAUCAAACCUGCUCACUCAUUGCGAUCAUGACCGUUAUAAAUCCCCCACCCGCAUUUAACAGCCUGAAAUGAUUGGUUUUAGCUGGGCCCUACAUGGCCAUCACCACAAAAUUCUAUGGCUGUAAGCGUAUCUAAUGAUGCUCUAUGCAACUAACACAUUUAAA